rnacentral:rRNA from 1 species
CAGCAGCCGCGGUAAUGCGUAGGUCCCGAGCGUUGUCCGGGUCUAUUGGGCGUAAAGCGAGCGCAGGCGGUUAGAUAAGUCUGAAGUUAAAGGCUGUGGCUUAACCAUAGUACGCUUUGGAAACUGUUUAACUUGAGUGCAAGAGGGGAGAGUGGAAUUCCAUGUGUAGCGGUGAAAUGCGUAGAUAUAUGGAGGAACACCGGUGGCGAAAGCGGCUCUCUGGUCUGUCACUGACGCUGAGGCUCGAAAGCGUGGGUAGCGAACAGGAUUAGAUACCCCAGUAGUCCCUGUCUCUUAUACA